UACAGAGGGUGCAAGCGUUAAUCGGAAUUACUGGGCGUAAAGCGAGCGUAGGUGGCUUGAUAAGUCAGAUGUGAAAUCCCCGGGCUUAACCUGGGAACUGCAUCUGAUACUGUCAGGCUAGAGUAGGUGAGAGGAAGGUAGAAUUCCAGGUGUAGCGGUGAAAUGCGUAGAGAUCUGGAGGAAUACCGAUGGCGAAGGCAGCCUUCUGGCAUCAUACUGACACUGAGGCUCGAAAGCUAGGGGAGCAAACCGG
rnacentral:rRNA from 1 species